UUUUGCGUUACAAACUUCAAAAGAUACCAAAUAGACUGGCCUUUGAAAGAGCGCUGAGUCCAAAAAUAUACAUGGAAAGGCAAUGGCAGUUUACACGUCUAAAAAUAUGCUCUCAAUUUCCUUAUUGCUCAGGAAUCUGCAGGGCUGCCCACAGAGCCAAGUAAACAGAAGGCAGGCUGACGUGUCAGUUGUCUGAAAUAGCAGAAAGAUCGACCGCGUGUUGACUUUCACAUUUUUUCCCACAAUUCCACUGGAAGCCAAAGAGGCUGGGGGGACUGGGGUGGCCAGAGAAAUCGAGGCGAUGACGCUUAUCUGCAAAUUGCCGGACAGGAGAUUAAUUGGGAAAGAAAGACAAGAGAGCGACUCCUUCUCUGCAGGAGGUGACGCAACUCCGUCAACAAACAAGAGAGGCGACGCAGAGAAGAACAACGGCAUAACAAUAGCAGGUGUGUUCCAAGAACGGCGGAGUGAUAACAGAUGGAAAACCUAGUUGUCACCUGUCAACCGAGGUGAGGCUUAGUGACAGGAAGGGCCACUCAGAAGAGACGACAAUAGAUGGGGAAGACACUGAACAGGAGAGAUGGAGGCAACGAGGAAGAAAGCAAAACAAAACAAAACAAAGGCUCCCCCUGAAAAAUGAGCAGGUACAGAGUGUGCUCUCUCGGAAGACAUGAAAAAUGGAGGAGGCGGUUUGGUUCACAGUUGCGCUAUACAUUAGAGCAACAAAAAAUUGAAUAGGAGGUUAUACCUAUUUUGUGUUUUGUUGGUCUCCUAAGGGGUGGCUUGUUUUCAACAUGGAAAAAUGAAAUGGUGUGGUAUGACAGUUCAGGAAUGUACAGCAUAAACCCCAGCACACAACUCUUAACUGCCACACACAUUAAAUACAGUAUUCUAACAGUGGAUGGGUGACUUCAUCAAACUUUUUAUUUAACGAGAAAACCAAUGAGUGUGUUUCAGUUGGUUCAUCUUGUUCUCUACCUACCCAGUGCACGGAGCACUAUCAGUGAUAUACAGCUUAAGCAUUGAGAGCAGUCAUUUUAUAAGCGUCCGUGCUCAGGUCCCUGAAAAAACAUGGAGGAAGAAGACAGAAAAUACUCCACGUAGCCCUGGGGGUCCACUUUGGGUAAUUAAUGGCAUUUUGCGAGGAGGUGAGGG
rnacentral:lncRNA from 1 species